CCCUCCGGGCUGCUUCUCUCUAAUCCACAGGGAGCCUAGCCCCUGGGACGCCCUCCUGCCCCCGGCUUUCCCUCCCGCACGAAGCGAUGCCCUGAGCACCCCAGGCCGGCCGCGCAGGCGUGGGCAGGAGGCUGCGGCGACUCCGCCAUUGCGCUGGGGCCCGGGGCGCACCACAGCAGCGGGGGCGAUCAACCAGCUGGCGGCCUUUCUAGCCGCGUCCGAUCGGCCCUCUCCUGCUGCCUCCAGACAGGAAACAUCAGGCACAUUCACAAAUCGGCCGGCUCGAAACCCAGGAGGAGGCGUUAAUUACAGAGUUACGGAUUUGAGCUUUCCCAUUACCCUACAUAGUGACACAGACCACAGUCCUGUUCAAGCCUCACAAGCAGAUGAUACUUCCUUGAACCCACCAGGGUGCCUCCACAGAGCUGCCAAUCCUGUCAUCAUGAAAACAAUGAUAAACGCCAUUCUAAGUAUCCAGUGAUGGCCCAUGCUCUGCCAUUUAACCCGCUGUUCAAUGAGCCCCGGUGAACACGUCCGCAGCUGCUCUUGGAAGCAGGAGAAUCCGUCCCUGACGAUAGCCGGGACUUGCACCUUGGCCCAUGCCAAUUAGAUUUUUGUAUCAUAUUCUUCAAACCCAUGUUCAUCAGCAACAUGAUUACAGUCAAAACAAUCAUUAUUGCAAACAGUAAUUUGUGUAGUCGGUGAUAACUCCAGCAAGAUAAUAUGUGUAAUAAACAUCAUCUUUGUGAAUAACAAUUACACAAAAAGCACAAACACAUCCAAGACAUGUUACGAGGCUCAAAUCCACAUGCUGGCUCUUCCGGGAGAAGAAUCAUAGCAAACUAUGAAUUUUCUUUCUAUUUACACAUCUGGUCCCAAAGCUAAUGGUUGGUAUGCUUGCCUUGUUAUAAGAUUUAGAAUUACAAGCUAUUUAUAACAUGCAUAUGAAGCUGAUAAAUUAUAAUAUGGGCCAAAAAAGAUACGUUUCCAUGUAGACAUCUCCAUUCAAGACAGAAAUAUAUAACUGAACAAAUACUUCUUCACCAGAAUGGAAGUGAACCCAAAGUAGGUAAAUAGUCUUUGUAUCGGUUUCCUGUGACUGCGCUAACAAAUUACCACACAUUGGAGGCUUAAAACAAGAUGAAUGUGCCCUCUGACCGGAGUUCAGGAGGCCAGAAGUCUGAAAUCAGUCUCGCUGGCCAGAAAUCAGGGUGUCUGCCUGGAUGCUUCUUCCAGAGGCGUUUGGAUUUACUGGAGCAAAGACAAACUUCACGCCGUGGGCUCAUGCCUGGUCCUGAAGACGGGGCUGGAUUGGCAGUGCGGAGCCCUGAGCCUGAGUCUCA
rnacentral:lncRNA from 1 species